CACAUCACCGAUAUAUCUCUUCCACAAUACCAGGUCCAAAUGGAUUGUUGUGCCAUAUCUGUUCUGCUUCCCAUUCGGCUACGAAAAGGUUUGUGUAACUCGUAGCGAACCUGGUACCCAUGGCUGUCCCACAUAGUUGAGGAAUGAUCAUUGCUUCCUGUAUGUAAUAUGUGCGGCUGAGGAUAACCGUAGCUCCCCCUUUAUCUGCCGGCUUCACUACAAAAUCAUGUUUCUUCUUAAGAUCCUUAAGUGAUUUUUGUUCUGCUAUGCAGGACAAUAGGACCGGAUGCAACGCGUCCACUAAGAAAGGACUACAUCUCUGCAACAAGAGACAGCCCUGCGGAGAAGGAGAAGCCGGUAUCUACAAAAGAAUGUGGCGUUUCUAUGGAGACACGUAUAAACAGAAUGACGCCAGUCUAGAGCACAUAUCCAGCCUCCAAUACGUCCUCACAUAUUGUGGAACAAUGUAACAAUGCUAUCUAGUGUACAUGUGGAGACGUACUGCAAGUCCUCUGUGUGUUCUGGGAAAUAACGUUAUACUGCCAUCUAGCGUAU